rnacentral:lncRNA from 1 species
GCCGCGGAGAGGAUAUUUUUUGUUUUGUUUUGUUUUCACAAGUGUGGAAUGCAUCAGUUAAAAUCUCAAGAAACCCCGAGGCAGAGGAUUAAGAGAUACUGAAGAGAAGAUGAGUCUGUGUGCAUUUAUCUGUGCUUAGCCUGCUCCGAAUGGGAACUCAGCUCUCAAAUGAAGAUGCACCAAGACUCAACACCUAGACCCACGAGAGUAGAUGCUCAGGAAAGAUUUGCUGACUGAACACAUGAUUGUGUCUACGCCUAGCAGUACUUUGUUGCGGGAUGGGCCCUGGC